rnacentral:rRNA from 1 species
UGGGGAAUUUUGGACAAUGGGCGAAAGCCUGAUCCAGCCAUGCCGCGUGAGUGAAGAAGGCCUUCGGGUUGUAAAGCUCUUUUAGUCGGAAAGAAAGAGUUGCAAUGAAUAAUUGUGAUUUAUGACGGUACCGACAGAAAAAGCACCGGCUAACUACGUGCCAGCAGCCGCGGUAAUACGUAGGGUGCGAGCGUUAAUCGGAAUUACUGGGCGUAAAGGGUGCGCGGGCGGUCUUGCAAGUCAGAUGUGAAAGCCCCGGGCUUAACCUGGGAAUUGCGUUUGAAACUACAAGACUAGAGUGCAGCAGAGGGGAGUGGAAUUCCAUGUGUAGCAGUGAAAUGCGUAGAGAUGUGGAAGAACACCGAUGGCGAAGGCAGCUCCCUGGGUUGACACCGACGCUCAUGCACGAAAGCGUGGGGAGCAAACA